UACGUAGGGUGCGAGCGUUGUCCGGAAUUAUUGGGCGUAAAGGGCUCGUAGGCGGUCUGUCACGUCGGGAGUGAAAACUCAGGGCUUAACCCUGAGCCUGCUUCCGAUACGGGCAGACUAGAGGUAUGCAGGGGAGGACGGAAUUCCUGGUGUAGCGGUGAAAUGCGCAGAUAUCAGGAAGAACACCAAUGGCGAAGGCAGCUCUCUGGGACGGUACUGACGCUGAGACGCGAAAGCGUGGGGAGCGAACAGG
rnacentral:rRNA from 1 species